rnacentral:rRNA from 1 species
UACGAAGGGGGGCUAGCGUUGCUCGGAAUCACUGGGCGUAAAGCGCACGUAGGCGGCUUGUUAAGUCAGGGGUGAAAUCCUGGAGCUCAACUCCAGAACUGCCUUUGAUACUGGCGAGCUUGAGUUCGGGGAGAGGUGAGUGGAACUGCGAGUGUAGAGGUGAAAUUCGUAGAUAUUCGCAAGAACACCAGUGGCGAAGGCGGCUCACUGGCCCGAUACUGACGCUGAGGUGCGAAAGCGUGGGGAGCAAACAGG